rnacentral:rRNA from 1 species
CAGUGGGGAAUAUUGUCGUACAAUGGGCGCAAGCCUGAUCCAGCCAUGCCGCGUGGGUGAAGAAGGCCUUCGGGUUGUAAAGCCCUUUUGUUGGGAAAGAAAUCCUGUCGGCUAAUACCCGGCGGGGAUGACGGUACCCAAAGAAUAAGCACCGGCUAACUUCGUGCCAGCAGCCGCGGUAAUACGAAGGGUGCAAGCGUUACUCGGAAUUACUGGGCGUAAAGCGUGCGUAGGCGGUUCGUUAAGUCUGUCGUGAAAGCCCUGGGCUCAACCUGGGAAUUGCGAUGGAUACUGGCGAGCUAGAGUACGGUAGAGGAUGGUGGAAUUCCCGGUGUAGCGGUGAAAUGCGUAGAGAUCGGGAGGAACACCCGUGGCGAAGGCGGCCAUCUGGACCAGUACUGACGCUGAGGCACGAAAGCGUGGGGAGCAAACAGGAUUAGAUACCCUGGUAGUCCACGCCCUAAACUAUGCGAACUGGAUGUUGGGCACACUUAGGUGCUCAGUGUCGAAGCUAACGCGUUAAGUUCGCCGCCUGGGGAGUACGGUCCGCAAGACUGAAACUC